rnacentral:rRNA from 1 species
AGCAGCCGCGGUAAUUCCAGCUCCAAUAGCGUAUAUUAAAGUUGUUGCAGUUAAAAAGCUCGUAGUUGAAUUUCGGGAUUUGUCCAUUGGUCGGGCCUCACGGUCCGUACUGGUGUGAUGGGUUCCUACCUUCUGAAUAACCGGCAUGCCAUUUAGUUGGUGCGCCGGGGGAGCAGAGCUAUUACCUUGAAAAAAUUAGAGUGCUUAAAGCAGGCUAUUGCUUGAAUAGAUUAGCA